UGUCGCAGCAGAAACAGGAAGUUAAAAAAAAACAGCCGAUCAAAACACGGAAGUGGAGCUGCUUCAGUCAGCUCAGCGGGAAAGUGAAAGCAAAUCAGGCCGGAGCAGGAGGACGCACAGGUAAUGCUAAGGAAGUGUUAGCUUCACUACAACUGCUGAGGUCCAGAAACCGACUGCGAGAGAAAAAGACCAAGAAUCGCGACUGGAGCUAUUUCAGUCUCACAGCGAGCUCAGAGGAAUAGAGGCUUCCCUGGGACCACUCUCUCACUUUCUCUCUCAUCCCAGACUGCUACUCCCUUUCUCCAAUAUGAACCCUCCAGGAGCAUGCUGGGAUAGAUGCAACGAUGAUGAUGACCUGCCCCAGAUGGACGGCACAUGUGACGCAUGUGAACCAGACGAGCCGCAGCCGGCUAUGCAAAUGUGUGUUAUUUGCCGCUUUGCCUUCUGCAUGAUUCACGCCGAGAAACACACACGAAGCACCAGACAUCCACUUCAGCCCUACAGACCUCCAGAACCUGGAGCGAAUGCCAACGCCCACAUCAAUGCUCAACCCGAGGCACACGCAAACCGGAUGGAAGAGGCCGAGGCCGUGGCCGCUGGGGGUGGAGCUGUAGGGAUGGAGGGGCAGGAUGAGGAGCAGAGUGGGUGUGAAUCAGGAAAGAGAGACACAGUGACAGUAGAAAGACUGAGAUGUAAGGAACAUGGACAGGAGGGCUCGUUGUACUGCAAACAGGACGAAAAGAUUGUGUGUGUGUUGUGUGCUGUACAGGGAGAUCACCGAGAACACGAGAUCAUCACACUCCGGGAAGCCUACAUGUGGCAGAAGAGUAAAGAGGGCAUAGAUCUGCUGGCGUGUACUCAAGAAAUGUCCGAGAAGAUCAAGACCAAGUGGACCAGUCCAGAUAUGAGCCCAGAUGAGCUGGAGCGCUACGUCAACCAGCAGUUCGAUGAGUUACAGAAGCUGGUGCGUCAGGAGGAGUGGCGUGUGCUUCACCUGGUAGACCUGAAAGAGGCCUUUUUGACGGCGCAUGCUGCUGAGAAGAUUGCUGAGAUCAGCGUUCACACCGAGAAACUGCAGGAGGAAAUGGACUCCAUCACACAGCAGCUGGGUGAGCUUGACCACGCUGAGCAAAACGGUGUAGCCCCAGCCAACCUGGCACCUCUGCUGGCAGGACAACCCCGGCCGCCUGGUGCUGCAAUACUGGAACAAAGACCUCUGAGGUUGGGCUCGGCCCCUUUAGUUCCAGUGAAAGGAACUCUUAAUGCUUCAGCAUACCAAGACAUUUUGGACAAUUUCAUGCUCCCAACUUUGUGGGAACAGUUUGGGGAUGCUCCUGUUCCAACAUGACUGCACAUCAGUACACAAAGUUCCAUAAAGACAUGGAUAAGUGAGUUUGGUGUGGAGGAACGUCAGAGUCUUGACCUCAACCUGAUAGAAUGCCUUUGGGAUGAAUUUGAGUGGACACUGUGAGCCAAACCUUCUCGUCCAGCAUCAGUACCUGACCUCAAAAAAACGCUUCUAGAGGAAUGGUCAAAAUACCUUGUGGAAAGUCUUCCCAGAAGAGUUGAAGCUGCAAAGGGCGGGACAACUCCAUAUUACAUUCAUGUGCAUGUAAAGAUGGACCCUGAAGCCAGACCAAGACUACCUGCUCAGCAACGAGACCCUCAGGAUCCUAGAGACUAUGGAGAUGGAGAAGACUCAUCCAUGGGCCAUGCUCCAUAACAGCAUGAGUAAAGUCUGCAAUCUUCUGCCUUAUUGUAAUGAACUGGAACAUUUGAGUGGACUGUCUGUCUUUCUAGCUACUGAAACUUCCUUCCAGUAUCGACUUUCUGCUUGGAUUGUUGCCUUUUUCUCUUCCGUCUUUGCUGCUUGUCUUCUUCUGAAGAGGAGGAGGAAUUGAAUGGAGUUGAUUGCAAUCAGAGAGAGUCUUCAAAACCAGUCAGACACCAGGCUGAGGAUUUGCAGCUGAAGUACUCGAAAUGGAAGACGGGAAUGUAAACUGAUUCCAAUUUGCCUUCACUUUAUGAUUAUAGUGCUGGAUUUGUGGAAUAUGAAUACCCAACCUAGGUAGCAUUCAUUCUGUUUUAGCUUUACCCCAUUUCCUCUCUGUUUGUUUGUAUUUCUAUUCCCGCCUACCAGCUAUGUGACGGCUACCACCCAGGGACUAACACGUGCUUCCUCAGAGUCAUGUGAAGCCAGACACUGCAUCGUUUCGCCUGCUCAUGCAUCACGGGGCAGCGCAACACGCUCAGAGGAAAGUGUUAACUGCCCUCAGAUACGAGUUCACAUAUGCCCAUGAUUGGCCUCUCUGAACGACAUGGGAGAGACUAAUGCUAUCCCUCCCACCCAAAGAGCACACACAGUUUAGCUCUCUCGCUGUGGCACUGUCAUGAGUCAAACCCUGCAAUCUCCUGAUGAUCAGAGCCUUCCAGGAGCCAUAAAAUCUGUUAGAGGGUAAGAAAGGUUGGAAAUUGUUAUCUGUUGUUGGCCAUGUAUAGAUUUAACACUGCAACAUGCCUUAAAAACCAACAUCAGUUUGGUGAGUUCGAUGCAAGAGAAACAGAAAAGAGAGAGAAAAAUCAAGUAAAAAAAUAUA